rnacentral:rRNA from 1 species
GACGAACGCUGGCGGCGUGCUUAACACAUGCAAGUCGAACGGUGAAAGCGGAGCUUGCUCCGCUGGAUCGGUGGCGAACGGGUGAGUAACACGUGGGCAACCUACCCCUGACUUCGGGAUAACUCCUCGAAAGAGGUGCUAAUACCGGAUACGAAUCCUGCAGGCAUCUGCGGGAUUGGAAAGUUUUUCGGUCAGGGAUGGGCCCGCGGCCUAUCAGCUUGUUGGUGAGGUAGUGGCUCACCAAGGCGACGACGGGUAGCCGGCCUGAGAGGGCGACCGGCCACACUGGGACUGAGACACGGCCCAGACUCCUACGGGAGGCAGCAGUAAGGAAUAUUGGUCAAUGGACGCAAGUCUGAACCAGCCAUGCCGCGUGAAGGAUGAAGGUCCUCUGGAUUGUAAACUUCUUUUAUAGGGGAAGAAAUCUGAAUAUUCCUAUUCAGUUGACGGUACCCUAGGAAUAAGCACCGGCUAACUCCGUGCCAGCCGCCGCCGUAACAC